GUGUCAGCCGCCGCGGUAAUACGUAGGGGGCAAGCGUUGUCCGGAAUCAUUGGGCGUAAAGCGCGUGUAGGCGGCUUCGUAAGUCCGUUGUGAAAGUCCAGGGCUCAACCCUGGAAUGCCGAUGGAUACUGCGGAGCUAGAGUCCGGAAGAGGCGAGUGGAAUUCCUGGUGUAGCGGUGAAAUGCGCAGAUAUCAGGAGGAACACCAAUGGCGAAGGCAGCUCGCUGGGACGGUACUGACGCUGAGACGCGAAAGCGUGGGGAGCAAACAGGAUUAGAAACCCCCGUAGUCC
rnacentral:rRNA from 1 species